rnacentral:rRNA from 1 species
AACGAACGCUGGCGGCAGGCUUAACACAUGCAAGUCGAACGCCCCGCAAGGGGAGUGGCAGACGGGUGAGUAACGCGUGGGAACGUGCCCUUCGCUUCAGGAUAGCCUCGGGAAACUGGGAGUAAUACUGAAUACGCCGUAUUGGGAAAGAUUUAUCGGCGAAGGAUCGGCCCGCGUUAGAUUAGGUAGUUGGCGGUGUAAUGGACCACCAAGCCUACGAUCUAUAGCUGGUCUGAGAGGAUGAUCAGCCACACUGGGACUGAGACACGGCCCAGACUCCUACGGGAGGCAGCAGUGGGGAAUCUUGGACAAUGGGCGCAAGCCUGAUCCAGCCAUGCCGCGUGAGUGAAGAAGGCCUUAGGGUUGUAAAACUCUUUCGCCGGAGAAGAUAAUGACGGUAUCCGGAGAAGAAGCCCCGGCUAACUUCGUGCCAGCAGCCGCGGUAAUACGAAGGGGGCUAGCGUUGUUCGGAAUUACUGGGCGUAAAGCGCACGUAGGCGGGUUUGUAAGUAGGGGGUGAAAUCCCAGGGCUCAACCCUGGAACUGCCUUCUAAACUGCAAGCCUGGAGGUCAGGAGAGGCGAGUGGAAUACCGAGUGUAGAGGUGAAAUUCGUAGAUAUUCGGUGGAACACCAGUGGCGAAGGCGACUCGCUGGGACUGAUAC